CUUAUAUAAACAAGUCAGGCAGCUUUGGAAAGAAUUUCUUUACCUUACUCACGCGCUCUCGCGCGCACAAACUCACACACACACACGUCUGCUACUCAGGCUGGAGUCAUGAGAGUCAAGCUUUCUUUUGCGGCGUUUCUUCUGCUUCUUCUCAAAGUGAUGGCCAUAAAUCCUGAAAAUCAGCGUGCCCAUGCGCCCUUCGCAACUAUCUCAAGAACUGCACGGGCCACCAAACAAAACGGAAGGAUUUUCGGCUUGUGGGAAAAAAUUCGGCCUGCCAGCUAUUUUGGAUUUUGGGGAACUUCAGGCUGGCCGAGUUUCACUAAUCCAACCGCCGUACACAAUCACUUCCACUUUGGACCCAACGGAAACAAUGGAAACAACGGGAAUAGUGGAAACGGGAAUGGAAAUCACGGAAAUGGGAACCACGGAAACGGGAACCAUGGAAAUCACGGAAAUGGAAACAACGGGUAUUGGAACGGAAACUGGUACGGAAAUUGUCCCAGCUGUUCAACUGGCAGGAAAGUCGCAGUGAAACACGCUAAGGCUUCCACCACUAAAAACUCAGGCCAAAAGACGAAGAGCAAUUCGGCGCCAAAGAGGGGUGGAUCGUGGUUCAUUUUUUAAAACUCCACUACUUCAAUAUUAUCUUGUUUUAUGUGUGUGUUUUGUUAUUGCAAUAUCUGUAAUGGUAUUGAGCUUUACUGUUAAAUAAGUAAUUAAAUACUUGAA